CUGAUGGAGCAACGCCGCGUGAGUGAAGAAGGUUUUCGGAUCGUAAAGCUCUGUUGUUGGUGAAGAAGGAUAGAGGUAGUAACUGGCCUUUAUUUGACGGUAAUCAACCAGAAAGUCACGGCUAACUACGUGCCAGCAGCCGCGGUAAUACGUAGGUGGCAAGCGUUGUCCGGAUUUAUUGGGCGUAAAGCGAGCGCAGGCGGAAAAAUAGUCUAAUGUGAAAGCCCUCGGCUUAACCGAGGAACUGCAUCGGAAACUGUUUUUCUUGAGUGCAGAAGAGGAGAGUGGAACUCCAUGUGUAGCGGUGGAAUGCGUAGAUAUAUGGAAGACACCAGUGGCGAAGGCGGCUCUCUGGUCUGCAACUGACGCUGAGGCUCGAAAGCAUGGGUAGCGAACAGGAUUAGAUACCCUGGUAGUCCAUGCCGUAAACGAUGAGUGCUAAGUGUUGGGAGGUUUCCGCCUCUCAGUGCUGCAGCUAACGCAUUAAGCACUCCGCCUGGGGAGUACGACCGCAAGGUUGAAACUCAAAGGAAUUGACGGGGGCCCGCACAAGCGGUGGAGCAUGUGGUUUAAUUCGAAGCAACGCGAAGAACCUUACCAGGUCUUGACAUCUAGUGCAAUCUGUAGAGAUAUGGAGUUCCCUUCGGGGACGCUAAGACAGGUGGUGCAUGGCUGUCGUCAGCUCGUGUCGUGAGAUGUUGGGUUAAGUCCCGCAACGAGCGCAACCCUUGUUAUUAGUUGCCAGCAUUAAGUUGGGCACUCUAAUGAGACUGCCGGUGACAAACCGGAGGAAGGUGGGGAUGACGUCAAGUCAUCAUGCCCCUUAUGACCUGGGCUACACACGUGCUACAAUGGGCA
rnacentral:rRNA from 1 species